AUUUCGCUAUGUUGACACUUCCUGACUAUCUCCUUAAACCUCUCCCAUGCUUCAAGCACAAUUUCAGUUUCAUUCUGGCAGAAUUUAUGUAUUUCUCUUCUGAACUU
rnacentral:snoRNA from 1 species